GGAGGCCGUCACGGGCCGGGCCAACUGUCGCCGGUGGUUACGGGGUUGCGGCCGGGUGUCAUCGUGGGCGCCGCUUGGUGGGUCGCGGAGGCCGACUUUCCGGUCGGCUUGCGUAUUUCCCGCAGAGAGCGAAGGCGCGUCAGAUGCCCGGCAAGCGGAGUGGUGACAAUGAGGACCCACAGAAGGUUAAACGGCCUCGCGGGCGGCCGCCCGGUCCCAAAGCCAGGCUGUCGGCUGCGGCGAGGGCGGCGGUGGUGGAGGCCGCCGCGGCUUGGGCAGCGGCCGAGGCCACCCCCGGCGGCGCGGAGGCUAUGGGCAUCCUGCUUCCGGGCCAGACACGAAUCAAGAGGAGGCGGAGGGUCAUGCCUCUGGAAGACAAGAUGAAAAUUCUCGAGAAGCUGGAAGAAGGCGUGAGUAACACCGACGUGGGGCGCCUGUUUGGCGUCAACGAGUCGACCGUGCGCACCAUUAAGAAAAACGAGAAGGCCAUCAGGGCCAGCAUGGAGAGUGUUUCGCCCGUGUCCUCCAAGGUGCUGUGCAUUCCCCGUGACGUAAACAUCGAGAAGAUGGAGACCGAGUUAACCUUCUGGGUGGAGGACCAGACCAUAGGGGGCCGGCCUCUGACGCUGAAGGCCAUCUGCAGCCAGGCCAAACGCAUUUACAAGCAGCUGGUCGAAACCACUGGCAACGGCAACCCGGAUAAGUUUCAUGCGAGCAAGGGAUGGUUUGAGAAGUUUAGAAAUCGCUACAGUCUGCGAAAUUCGAGGUUGAUGGGGGAGGAAGAACCCCUGAAUGCCCAGUCGGCACCCAAGUAUUCCAAACAACUGCAGAGACUGAUCAGAGCCAGAGGCUACGUGCCUCAACAGGUCUUCAACGCCGAGGAGAUGAGCCUGUUUUGGAAGUGCAUGCCUUCACGUACUUUUAGGGAAAAAGACAAAAAUCCCGAAAGCUUAGAGGAAGCUAAGGACAGGAUUUCCCUCAUUUUUUGUGCCAACGCCGCCGGUGACAAAAUGAUAAAGCCCUUGCUGCUUUAUAAAGACCCCAAUCCCACUUGUCUUUUGGAAAAAGAUAAAAACCGCCUUCCUGUGUUCUGGCGAUCACACCCCAAAGUAUCAUUAACUGCUGCCCUCUUUUUGGAUUGGUUUCAUAAUUGUUUUAUCCAUCAGGCCCGGAGUUAUUUAAUAGAAAAAAAUCUUGAGUUCAGAGUGUUGCUAAUUCUGGACAGAGGUCCCAAUCACCCAGACUCAUUAUUCUUUGCUCAUCCUAAUGUUGAUAUUGUGUUCCUCCCUCUGGAAGGCACUAGCUAUCUUCAGCCCUUGGACCAGGGUAUAAUUGAAGCAUUCAGGAGGUAUUACACUAAGCAUAUGUUUGACCACUUUGCUGACUGUAUUGAAAAAAACCCCUGUCUUACUUUGAAAGAAACAUGGCAACAGUACAACAUUGCUGAUGCUUUGGUAGUGAUAAAAGAGGCAAUGGAUGAUAUAAAACCGGCUGCUCUUAAUAAAGCCUGGUGGAAACUUUGGGAUGAUGUUGUGAAUGAUUAUGCGUGUUUCCCUAGAGCUAAUGAAGAAGUUGCAAAAAUCGUAGAGUCUGCAAAACGGAUGGACUUUAAAUUCCUUGACAUUGAAGAGGGUGAAAUUAAUGAGCUGCUCAAGUUUCAGGCUUUGGCCAUAACUGAGAGAGAGUCUGUAUCAAUAAGUACGGAAGAAGACAAGUCCCCGGAACCAGAGGUAAAGAUGAAUUUAAGGAAAUUGAAUGCUGUCUUACGCCAGGCCUCAGACCUCAUUGAUGCUGCAAUUGAUAUGGAUCCUUUCCUGGACCGAAGUUUGGCCUUUAAAAAAGACUUCAAUAAAUUGUUAUAUACCUAUAAAGAGGUACAGAAGAACCUUCAAAAUAAAGCAAAGGAGUUGAAGAAAGAAAAAGACACAAACAAAGAGGAAGUAGUGUGGAUGAAGAAGAUGGAUACAGAAUCAGAGUCCGAAGGGGAGUCUGAAUCUGAAUCCGAGUCUAAAUCCGAAUCUGAAUCCCAUAAGGAGGAGCAGGUAGAGAGAAGGAAAGAGGACAAGAAGCCUCCAGAAGAAGAUCCUGGACCCUCAAGCAGUGGCACUGAGACUCUCACUAUAUCUGAAGAAUCUGCCAAAGCCAUAAAUGCAGAAUUGGACUUUUGGAAUCUAACCUUGGAAUUGAAUCUGGAGAGAGUAGAUGUGCCUGAGUUAAAGGAAGAGAAUCCAGAGGCAGUUCCUUCCAAAUGACAGUUCAUCUCUUGCCAUUUUUCCCCUGUUGCCCCAACAUCUCCCUUCAUCAUGACCAUCCUUAUCAUCACCAGCCACACAUCCGUAUCAUUUAGUCAUUCAACAAACAGUUACUGAGCAUAAGCUGUGUGGGGUCCUGUGCUAAAAUUGGGGACAUCAUCUCAGGAAAUCAUCUCGGGAUCUAAGAUCCUGACAGCUUCUUUCCUGUCAUACCCCAUAUUCAGGACCCUUAGCCUGCGGCUCCAUUCAGCUGUCACCGGCAGCUAUGUUUCCGGCACUUACUCCAUCGUCUUUGUCAACUGUCCCAAUGAGCAAAUUGCCAGAGAUAUUGCCAGGGCUAGCCUGGAUAAGAAGCUGGCUGCCUCUGUGAACAUCCUGCCCAAGGCAUCCUCACUGUACUUUUGGAAUGGAGAAAUCGAAGAAGCCACUGAAAUCCUGUUGCUAAUAAAGACAAAGACUUCCAAGGUCCACGUGCUAUCCAGCUAUAUCAGGUAAUGUUGGCAUCUCUUCUCAGGCAGGGACGUACUAGGGACUAAGUGAAUAAGCUUGAAAAUCAGGAGACUAGAGCCUAGUCACCAACCUCCCACAUGACCCUCGGCACAUCCUUGCCCCUCAGAUUCUUCAUCUGUAAAAUGAGAGGCUAGAAUGAGUUUGUUGACAAUGGUUCUCAAAAUUUUAGUCUCAGGAUCCCUUUACACGUUUAAAAAUUAUCGGGGGGCCAGAGGAGCUUUGUUUGCAUGGGUUAUAUUAAAGUUUAUUGUGUUAGAAAUUAAAACUGGGGCGCCUGGGUGGCUCAGUUGGUUAAGCAACUGCCUUCGGCUCAGAUCAUGAUCUUGGAGUCCCGGGAUCGAGUCCUGCAUCGGGCUCCCUGCUCAGCAGGGAGUCUGCUUCUCCCUCUGAUCCUCCCCCUCUCAUGCUCUCUGUCUCCCAUUCUCUCUCUCAGAUAAAAAAAAAAAAAAAAAAGAAAUUAAAACUGAUAAAUUAAAAAAAUAUUUUAGUUCUUUUAAAAUAAUAAUAGGUAUACCUGGUGGCUUGGUUGGUUAAGCAUCCAGCUCUUGAUUUCAACUCAGGUCAUGAUCUCAGGAUCCUGGGAUUGAGCUCCAUGUCAGGCUCUGCGCUAGGCAUGGAGCCUGCUUAAGAUUUUCUCUCUCCCUCUCUCUCUGCCCCUCACCCCCCCAAAAUAAAACAAACAAAUACGUACACUGACGUGUGUCCCUAAAAUAAGAAAAUUCACUGUCUUGAGUCAUUGGAUAAAAUUACCCCAACUCCCAAAUGUUUAAGCACCUGUGCAUGUGCCAUGAUUACUAAGGAUGCUAUCUCAUGAGAACUUGACCGUGCCUCUUUCACUGGAAAGGAAGCAGGGAUUAUCACCCCAUUUGACAGAUGGGGAACUGAGGCCCAAGGCCUCACAUAUCUGCCUUGUGUGCUGAGGGCCAGGUGAAAGAAAUGGAGAGAAGGGAGAGAUCCCUGUGGCUUUGGAUAGUCGAGGAAGAUCCCUUGGAGAAGGUCAGUGGUUGAGUUGGGACUUGAGGGAUAGAUAAGCUUUUAAGUGAUCAACGGAGAACUUUAUAGAUGGACAAGAGAAUCCGGAGGUAUGGGGGGGUGGGGCUUGUUUGGGGAAGGCACAGUGAUGAGUGUGGGAUAGUAAUGAAGAUAGUAAGUGACAUUUAACGAGGGCACACAAGGCUGGUCAGUAUACCAGGUAAGCGCUUCAUGUGUCUCAUUGCAUUUAAUCCUUGGCAGUCCAGUCGCGGAGGAACUAUUUUUAUCCCCUCUUUUGUAGGGCCUUUGGAGAAACAAAGUGACCUGUCCAUAGUUCCAUAGCUAUGAGGAGGGGCAGACUUAGAAUUUGAACCCAUGACUGUGAGACUAAAGCCAUCUGGCCCAACUCCCCACUUGUUGACAGGUGGGAAACAGGCUCAGAAGCGGUGGGCCACUGCGCUGGACAAGAUGGGCUACGGCAGAUCGCAGGGCAGCUCAGGUGACACUUUCCAGUUGGGUCUAAUUGCAUAGACUGGUUCUAACCCUCAUCACUUACAGGGCUCUGCUUUCUUUCCAAAGGUUGGUGCAUCCUUUUGAAAUCCCAGAAGUCUUCAGUCUUCCCAUGGACCAAGGAGAUGUCCACUAUUUCAAGUGGCUGGAGGAGGGCAUGGAGGAGGACUGAUUUGGGGCAGGGGCGGGGGGAGGCUUUUGUGUCUCCUGAUGGCUGCCUCUAGGGAAGGGGGGUCUCUCUCUGUUUCCUGGCACCUCUGGAUUCUGUGUCAUUACAUCACGGAAGAGCUAAGGAACUUGAGAGGCUGAAGGUCUGAGCCCCUGAGGCUGGAAGAAGAGGCUGGGUUGGUCGGGCCAACCAAGAACCCGGUGGAAUUUGUCUCGAGUGCUUCAGGCUUAAAGGUGGCCAGGGGGUGGGAGGGCGAGGAUGGUUAUGUGGGGAGGCCAAGGGGAGGUGGCAGUGAGGGUGAGGUUUGUCAUCUGCUCCUUCAGUCACUGGGCCUACCUCGAGUGCCCAGGAUGUAAUUACUCUUCUGCUUCUCAUGAGGAGGAAUGGACCUGGUGACCUGUUUACCCGAAGUGUGUGGGCUGAAUGUCGCCUUCUAGGGGAACUGGCAAGCCCUUUAUCCAAAAGGAUGAAUUGCUAAUGGUAGAAAUUUAGGGACAAGCAGGAUUAUUUCUUGUAACUAAAGAUGCUAUUUGUUAUUCCUGAGUCCUGAGGAGGUGGGAAUGGGCUUCAUGAGUGUGGGUAGGACUGGGGGAACAUUAGGUAUUAGACACAGCCUCAUGGCUUAGAAGCAGGUCUAGACUCUUCUGUAGCCUGAAUGUGAUGGGUAUCAGAAGGUUCUGGUGCCUUGCUCAUUGGAGACAUAGGUUCUGAGCCCAUGGUACUAACCUUGUCAGUUGAGCAUUGAAACUGAGCAUCCUAAAGUGGCAAGAGCCCUGGGAACUGCCAGACCAGUGUUUUCCAGACUUGUUCCCUUGGGUCUCAGAAGUUGACAGAUGGUACCCUGGGUGCUUCCUGGGUGGGGGUAAGGGUAUGAGGCUCCCCACCCAUACCUCAACCAGUAUAACUACCUUUUACCAUUUUUAUGUAUUAAGCUCACUUGUAAGAUUUUGGGUUUGGUUUGGUUUUGUUAAUUUUUUUGGUUAAAAGCUAGUAAACCAGUGUUCUAAGCCAGUCUCCAUUUUAUAGAUUACCAAAGGAAACUGAACUGCACUGAGGUCCAGCAAGGGGGUGGCGUGUUGCGUUAAGGAUGGUAAGGCCAAGCCUACUCACCCUGUGUCUGGUGCUCCUCUACCUGCUCCCUGGGUCUCAGGUGGAAGAGAGCAGGGAAGGCAGAGCCCCUUUGGGGUGAGAAGAAAGACUUGAGCUAGGCCCCCUCCAUGAACCUGUCACAAGGUAACCUCGCUCUGGGGAGACUCAUGGGCAGUUUGGGUGGGGGUCCACAGACCUCUGUGGAAUCCCAGGUCUUCCCAGAGGGAAGGGUAUGUGGGAUGGGUAUUUACUGCCAGGCUCUGGUUCUGACACGAGCUGUGCUUCUUAAACCUUAGUGCCUCCAAAUAUAAAAUGGAGGCCCUCCCAGGGCCCUUCUGUGAAGCUCUUGUAGGGACUUAAGGCAGAGGCUCUUCCAAAGGUCCAGAGGAUCCUUUUUUGAUAGCCAGUGGGGAUUUUGGAGGGUUACCUCAGGAGAAGGACAAAGAGAAUGAUAAUGGUGAUGUCCCUUUUUACAACAGAUGUUUCUGAUACACGCGAAAAUCUUGGAUAAAGUAAGCCCUAGGGAAAAUGCUUUGGGGACCCCAGAAGGACUGCCUCUGUUGCUUUCGGGUUAGAGCCCAGUUUCUUUCUUUUUUUUUUUUUUUAAAGAUUUUAUUUAUUUAUUUGACAGAGAGAGAGAGCAUAAGCAGGGGGAGUGGCAGGCAGAGGCAGAGGGAGAAGCAGACUCCCCGCAGAGCAGGGGGAGCCUGAUGCGGGACUCGAUCCCAGGACCCUGGGAUCAUGACCUGAGCCGAAGGCAGUCGCUUAACCAGCUGAGCCACCCAGGCGCCCUAGAGCCCAGUUUCUUGGUCUGGCCUUCAAGGCCCUUCAUAGCCUUGCCUCCCCUCACUUUUUCCAUCUUCACCUUCCACCUGUCCUUGCCCACGCUGGCAAGGAGAUGUCUCCAGUAGGCUGUGUGAAGCUAUUCCUGUGUUCGGGCCUCCCCUCGGCCUGGAGCGCCGCCCGCAUGAAUGCCUGGGAAAUCUGGCUGCUCCUUUGCAAGGCCAGCUCUGCUUGGAGGGAAGCUCUCUGGCCUCGGUGUCCCUGUUAUCCUUGUGUAUCACGGUCAUCCUCCUGUUUCUAGAUCAUGAACUACUCGAGGUCAAGGGCAUGUCUGAAUCUGUUUGAGCUCUUGCACAGGAUUGGGCAAGGAUUUGAAUAAAGAGUUCUCUGUAGCCCACAGUUACUCAGCUAUGGAAUUGGCAAAGUCCAGCCUUUUUUCUUGGAACUUUCUUAAAGUGGGACUAAUUCCAAAGGAGAUUUUUCUAUUUCUGGCCUUCAUUGGGGCAUUUUCUGUGCUGACUGCACAGAAAACUGUCUCUUGGGGGACUUCCUUUGCCUCAGUGUCCCAGCUGGCUACAGGAAAUGGGAGAGGGGAGGACAAACGCCAGCUCUCUGCCUGGUGCUCUCCUAGGUUCUCCACAUUAUUUUAUCUUCUAACUCAUUGUUCUCCUCAGCUGGAAGCUGACUCCUGAGAUCAGAGAGCAUGACACUUAAAAUACUUGGCCGACUAGGCUGUGAACCCAUGUGUCCAAUUCUAGAUCUGAUGCUCUUACUGCCUCCUUCAGAGAGGUUGGACAUACCCUUGGUAGGCCAAACACCUUGAGAGCCUACUGUAGCCAAUUCUAAAAGAAGGGGUAUUGGUUCCAAAAAACUCUGUGCAGUAAGUUGAUCUGACACUUAAAAAUGUAUUGUUUACUUCUCCCCACUUAUCUGGAGGCUGGUGACAGGAUCUUUAUUCUGCAGAUGAGGGAACAGAUCUAGAGGAGAUGAGUGAUUUUUCAGGUCUGCGUGACUCCCAGCUUACUCACCCUAGACCACACUGUCCCUCCAGAGUGCUGCUGUGGGGCUGGGCUAGGACCUAGACUAGCGGCUCCAUGCAGGAAUGCCUUCCCAGCAUUUCUCAGGGAAGGUCUGUUUUUUGAAUCCAAAAUCUCCAGAAAAGUCACUUGAGGAAAUGAGAAAAAAAUAUUAAAAUUAUCUGUGAAUACUGAAGCUUAAAAGCAUAGAGAUGUCAACUGGUUUGAAGAAAUCAUCAGAUAAAAAAAGCAAGAAACACCAACAUGCGGAGUUGAGGGUUGAAGGGAACCAGGACAGGAGUGCGCAGGAGAGAAAUGAUUACCAUGGAAUCAGUCUUGCUUGCAAUUGUUGCUGAGUCCCAAGUGCAUCUGUCUAGCCCUAUCUGCUGCAAACUGAGUUAUUUUUGCAGAUAAGUUUAUACACAUAGUAUACAUUAAACAAAUUCUGUGAGCUUUGUUUGAAGAAAUAAGCUUUGAAAGAAAAAUAAAUUUUAAUUGAGCAAUUCCGA